rnacentral:rRNA from 1 species
UACGUAGGGGGCAAGCGUUGUCCGGAUUUAUUGGGCGUAAAGAGCUCGUAGGUGGUUCGGUAAGUCGGAUGUGAAAUCUCCAGGCUCAACCUGGAGGGGUCAUUCGAUACUGCCGUGACUAGAGGUCGGUAGGGGAGUGUGGAAUUCCUGGUGGAGCGGUGAAAUGCGCAGAUAUCAGGAGGAACACCCGUAGCGAAGGCGGCACUCUGGGCCGAUAUUGACGCUGAGGCGCGAAAGCCAGGGGAGCAAACGGG